CUGGAGGUAUCAGAAGUGCGAAUGCUGACAUAAGUAACGAUAAAGCGGGUGAAAAGCCCGCUCGCCGGAAGACCAAGGGUUCCUGUCCAACGUUAAUCGGGGCAGGGUGAGUCGACCCCUAAGGCGAGGCCGAAAGGCGUAGUCGAUGGGAAACGGGUUAAUAUUCCCGUACUUGGUGUUACUGCGAAGGGGGGACGGAGAAGGCUAUGUUGGCCGGGCGACGGUUGUCCCGGUUUAAGCGUGUAGGUGUGUGUUCCAGGUAAAUCCGGUUCACUUUAACACUGAGGCGUGACGACGAGGCACUACGGUGCUGAAGCAACAAAUGCCCUGCUUCCAGGAAAAGCCUCUAAGCAUCAGGUAACAUCAAAUCGUACCCCAAACCGACACAGGUGGUCAGGUAGAGAAUACCAAGGCGCUUGAGAGAACUCGGGUGAAGGAACUAGGCAAAAUGGUGCCGUAACUUCGGGAGAAGGCACGCUGACACGUAGGUGAAGUGAUUUACUCAUGGAGCUGAAGUCAGUCGAAGAUACCAGCUGGCUGCAACUGUUUAUUAAAAACACAGCACUGUGCAAACACGAAAGUGGACGUAUACGGUGUGACGCCUGCCCGGUGCCGGAAGGUUAAUUGAUGGGGUCAGCGCAAGCGAAGCUCCUGAUCGAAGCCCCGGUAAACGGCGGCCGUAACUAUAACGGUCCUAAGGUAGCGAAAUUCCUUGUCGGGUAAGUUCCGACCUGCACGAAUGGCGUAAUGAUGGCCAGGCUGUCUCCACCCGAGACUCAGUGAAAUUGAACUCGCUGUGAAGAUGCAGUGUACCCGCGGCAAGACGGAAAGACCCCGUGAACCUUU
rnacentral:rRNA from 3 species